rnacentral:rRNA from 1 species
AGAUGCGUUCAUAUCUCCGGCAAGCACUGCAUCCCGUCCGAUCUACAAAGUUAAGCCCAGAAGAACCUGGCUAGUAUUGCAGCGGGUGACCACGUGAGAAUCCCGGAUAAGCUCAACGC